AUUGAACGCUGGCGGCAGGCCUAACACAUGCAAGUCGAACGGUAGCACAGAGAGCUUGCUCUCGGGUGACGAGUGGCGAACGGGUGAGUAACGUCUGGGAAACUGCCCGAUGGAGGGGGAUAACUACUGGAAACGGUAGCUAAUACCGCAUAACGUCGCAAGACCAAAGUGGGGGACCUUCGGGCCUCACACCAUCGGAUGUGCCCAGAUGGGAUUAGCUAGUAGGUGGGGUAAUGGCUCACCUAGGCGACGAUCCCUAGCUGGUCUGAGAGGAUGACCAGCCAACCUGGAACGGAGGCACGGUCCAGACUCCUACGGGGGGCAGCAGUGGGGAAUAUUGCACAAUGGGCGCAAGCCUGAUGCAGCCAUGCCGCGUGUAUGAAGAAGGCCUUCGGGUUGUAAAGUACUUUCAGCGGGGAGGAAGGCGGUGAAGUUAAUAACUUCACCGAUUGACGUUACCCGCAGAAGAAGCACCGGCUAACUCCGUGCCAGCAGCCGCGGUAA
rnacentral:rRNA from 1 species